AGAAGUUAAAGGCAAACUGUUCUGAAAGGGCAGGACGCAAAGCCUAGGGUCUAAAGUUUAGGGAUUAAUCAAAAGUCCUGCAAUCUAAACAAUGAUCGCCUGGUUACCAAA
rfam:Lysinibacillus sphaericus OT4b.31 genomic scaffold Ls31_scaffold1, whole genome shotgun sequence.